rnacentral:lncRNA from 1 species
AUCCGGAUGAAUGGAAUAUCAUGAAUUGUGGGCCUCCUCUAAAAUCAACUCUCGAAGGCCAUCAAUAUUGGGUACACAUAUACGACCCUGCAUCCCCAAUACUCUGUCCUCACCAAUGGUCACAUCUCUAGAAUGAUUAUGCUGAACCUUGUCCUUGAGGACAAGAAAAUGAGGGUCAUCAUACUGACACUCCCUGAUACGAUCAAAUAAGGAAGACC